rnacentral:hammerhead_ribozyme from 1 species
GCACUGCUGCUGAGUCCCACAAUAGGACGAAACGGCCGUCCAGUGC